CUAUAGGAGAACACGAGGAAAUAUAUUUUAUAAACUGUAAAGCACUACUAAGACGUGAGCAGCGGCUGCUGCAUAUCCAGGUCAACCUUUAUGGGCCUGAAGACAACCUCUCCUUCGUUUGGGCACUGCUAGGAGUCAAAUCUACCUAGACUUUUGGUAAGGAAGAUGGUACUCAUGCUCAUUGUCAUUGAGACAAUUAUCUAAUGCUUAGAAGUCAAGACUAGAAAGCAAGGCAUUAACCAUAUCAGCACCCAAACAAGGGAAGACAAGUUACAAGAAAGCCAAAUAAAACAGCAAACAUUUGUUUAGUGCUUUAUGGUUAACAUAUAUGAUCUCUUUUAAUCCUUACAAUCCUAGGGAAAAAGUGAAGCUCAAGGAGGUUGACACCUGCCCAAGACUAGACAGUAAGUGGCAGAGCCAGGUCAUCUGAUCCUAAAUCCCGCACUCCUUCCACUAUGAUAAAAUACCAGGAAAGAAAAGUGAUCAGGAUAUGAGGCACAUUCUGAUCCAUCAAAGAUGCUUAUAUGCUUUGCCUUUCUCUAGAAGGAAAACGGACCCCACUGAAGGUAGAGAUGCAAUCCCAGACUUUCAGAGGGGGGGUGUGGCCAAUUGCUAUCAGUAGUUUAGGACUCACAUCUGGCAUUUCUGUCUACCAAUACAUCUAUUUUGACACUGCUUGUGCUGAGGUCCCAAAUGUCUAUUAUCUCCAAGUACUGUGGCUUUCUAUUCCUAUCUGUACCUGUCCCAGGGAAUUGGUCAAGGACUCACAUUAGGGAGAAAUGAAGUACUGGGUAUCUGUUACUCACGUCCCUUACACUUAGGUAGACUGCCAGUAUUAGCAGUAGUGGUCCGCUUCCAGUGACCGUCAUAUUAUCUGUUCAGCUUCCUCUGGGGAAGCCAAUCUGCCCCAAUCUUCAUGGUUUUGUGUCUCCUUUUUUACCCAUAUGACCAUCUCUCUCCACCGUGUCUCCCUCAUCAAAUAAAGAGAAGUUUAGCAACUAAGUACCUGAGGAGGUGGGAAAGGAAUGCUACUCAUUCCUCAGCUCUCCUAGUUACCUUUCCACUCCCUUCAUCCCCCCACAUUCCCUCAUUUCUCUCACCUGGUACUCCUGCACCACCUCCUCCAAAGGCAGCACGCUGUGCUGUUUGUGGCUCCUGGAUUCUCGGCACACCACACAGAUGGCCUCUUUGUCCACCUCACAGAAGAGUUUCAGGGCUUCCUGGUGUUUAAAGCACAUGCCCUGAUCAUUACUCCGGUUUCCCCGAUAAGGAGUGGGGCACAUCUGGCGAAUUAUCUGGACCAUGUUGGCCAGCUGCAAGUUGGGACGAAAGCUGCGACGUGUAAAGCUCUUUCGGCACUGGGGGCAGGUGAACUGCCCUGGAAGGGGCAAGGAAGGAGGCGGGUGGAUGUCAGGAUACAGCUCUUCAUCUUCGUCCUCAUCGUAUGCUUCCAGUAUUUCUUCUUCUCGGUAGACAUCAAUUCUCAGGUCAGGUCUCAAGCCUCCUAGGUAAUAGUCCUGAUCUUCCUCUUCUUCUUCUUCCUCCUCGUCCCACAUAUAGUCUACGUUGUCCCAAUUAGUUAUACCACUGUCACCGAGCCAGAGUUCAUCGUCAUCUUGGUCUUGGAACAACUCUUCGUCAGCAUUCCCCCGAUACAACACCUCUCGAAUGGAGCCGUCCCAUCCAUCCAUGGCCCCCACCGCUUCCUCGUCCUCCUCCUCCUCCCAUUCAUCUUCCUCCUCGUUCUGGUCCUCCUCGUCCUCCUUACUCCACAGCUGGGUCACACACCCUCGGCAGAAGUUGUGCCCACAGCUGAUGGACACGGGGUCCUUGAAGUAAUCCAAGCAGAUGGCACACACCGCUUCCUCCUGAAGGGUCUGCAUGGGGCUGGGAGUAGUGGCAUAACCAGCCAUCUUAAUGCCCGCCGGCAGGUGUAGAUACGUCAGCUUGGAGCUGAGGAGCGGGGACGCGCCUGCAGGCCUGCCUCCAAACUACUCUGGUGACCCGAGGCUGUCCUCAACCUUGCUCUUCUUCCUCGGGGCCGCAGGGGAGCUUUGACCCCCUCUCUCAGGGUGCGAACGCCCAGAUCCAGACUCACAGCCUCUCUCUGGGAUCGGUGGGGACAGAGCAGGCUGCAGCCCCCAGCUGCUCGGUCCUGUCACGUCUCUCGCUACCCUCAGGGUGUGCCCUACACUGCGGCGUCCGCCUCAGAUGCAGCCGCUGGCUACCCUGCCCGAGGCGACGCAAAAUGACGUCUCGCUCCUGCACACGCUCUGGAGAGACGCUCUAGGCCGGCGGAGGACCACGUCUCUAUGGUGUGCCGGGGGCCGCGCGGGCCGGGAGUUGGGUGGGCUGGGGGACAGGCGCGCCCGCGCCGCCCGCUCCAGCUGGGCUAGUGCUGCACAUUCCGGCCAGCCCCUCCUCAAGACCCCAUUCCCAAGCCCCUUCUCAGCUCCCUCGGGCCGGCAGAGCGGCUCUGAUCAGUAAAAUGCUGUUGAAGGCCCACGGGCAUGACUGCACCCCUCACUAAUUGGUCAUUGGUUUGGGGAGGACACCACUGUCCCAGUGGAACCUUGAGCACACCUUGGAGCCCUCCUCUUCCUCUCCGGACCUGUGCCAAACUGUGAGUGGCACAGAGCAAGGACUGUAUGUGUUCUCUUCUUUGUUGCAUACUCAGUUCCUUGACCACAGUGCCAAGCACACAGCGAGCACUCCCUGUGUAUCUGCUGAGUAAAUAAACGAAUGAACAAACCCAACACAUUUCAGCCAAGUCCUGCUGAUGUUUCUCCUCCGAUCUAGCUCCUCCUUUCCAGCCUUACUUCUGCCACUCCAGAUUUCACCCCCAUCAGCUUCAGACUGGAUAAAAGGAAACCAUUUCUCUAAAGGAUCACUUGCUCUCUCAUUUCAGGCCAUCCUGCAGCCACCAGAACCUUCCACAUGAAAUGAAAGGCUCACCACUUCAUAGGCUUUAAGGAAAUUCUUGGCCAGGUGUGGUGCCUCACUCAUGUAAUCCCAGUGCUUUAAGAGGCCAAGAUGGGAGGAUUGUUUGAGCCAGCUGUUUGAGACCAGCCUGGGCAACGUCAUGAGACCCCAUCUCCACAAAAAAAAAAAAAAAGAAAAUUGGCUGGGUGCGGUGGCUCAUGUCUGUAAUCCCAGCAAUUUUGGAGGCUGAGGCGGGUGGAUCACUUGAGGUCAGGAGUUUGAGACCAGCCUGGCCAACAUGGUGAAACCCCGUCACUACUAAAAAUACAAAAAUUAGCCAGGCGUGGCGGCAGGUGCCUGUAAUCCCAGCUACUUGCGAGGCUGAGGAAGAAUUGCGUGAACCUAGGAGGUGGAGGUUGCAGUGAGCCAAGAUCAUGCUGCUGCACUCCAGCCUGGGCAACAGAGUGAGACUCCAUCUCAAAAAUAAUAAAAAUAAAUUAAAAAAAUUAAAAAUUACCUGCGUGUGAUGGUGUGCGCCUGUAGUUCCAGCUACUUGGGAGGCUGAAUUGGGAGGAUCAUUUGAGCCCAGGAGGUCAAGGCUGCAGUAAGCAGUGAUGGUGCCACUGCCCUCAGCCUGGGCAACAGAACAACAUGCAAUCUUAAAAAAAAAAAAUCCUGGCCAGGCACAGUGGCUUAUGACUGUAAUCC
rnacentral:lncRNA from 1 species